UACGUAGGGUGCGAGCGUUAAUCGGAAUUACUGGGCGUAAAGCGUGCGCAGGCGGUUUUGUAAGCCAGAUGUGAAGCCCCGGGCUUAACCUGGGAAUGGCAUUUGGGACUGCAAGGCUUGAGUGCGGCAGAGGAGACUGGAAUUCCUGGUGUAGCAGUGAAAUGCGUAGAUAUCAGGAGGAAUACCGAUGGCGAAGGCAGGUCUCUGGGCUGACACUGACGCUCAUGCACGAAAGCGUGGGAGCAACAGG
rnacentral:rRNA from 1 species